UACGUAGGGGGCAAGCGUUGUCCGGAUUUAUUGGGCGUAAAGAGCUCGUAGGCGGCUUGGCAAGUCGGGUGUGAAAACUCCAGGCUCAACCUGGAGAUGCCACUCGAGACUGCUAUGGCUAGAGUCCGGUAGGGGACCACGGAAUUCCUGGUGUAGCGGUGAAAUGCGCAGAUAUCAGGAGGAACACCGGUGGCGAAGGCGGUGGUCUGGGCCGGCAACUGACGCUGAGGAGCGAAAGCGUGGGGAGCAAACAGG
rnacentral:rRNA from 1 species